rnacentral:rRNA from 1 species
GGACCUGACUGCUAUCGGAUUGAUACUAAGCCAUGCGAGUCAUUGUAGCAAUACAAGGCAUACGGCUCAGUAACGCGUAGUCAACCUAACCUAUGGACGGGAAUAACCUCGGGAAACUGAGAAUAAUGCCCGAUAGAACAUUAUGCCUGGAAUGGUUUAUGUUCCAAAUGAUUUAUCGCCGUAGGAUGGGACUGCGGCCUAUCAGUUUGUUGGUGAGGUAAUGGCCCACCAAGACUAUUACAGGUACGGGCUCUGAGAGGAGUAGCCCGGAGAUGGGUACUGAGACACGGACCCAGGCCCUAUGGGGCGCAGCAGGCGAGAAAACUUUGCAAUGUGCGAAAGCACGACAAGGUUAAUCCGAGUGGUUUCUGCUAAAGAAACCUUUUGUCAGUCCUAGAAACACUGAUGAAUAAGGGGUGGGCGAGUUCUGGUGU